CCUACGGGUGGCAGCAGUGGGGAAUAUUGGGCAAUGGAGGCAACUCUGACCCAGCAAUGCCGCGUGAGUGAUGAAGGUCAUUUUAUUGUAAAGCUCUUUUCUUUGGAACGAAUAAAUGACGGUACCAACGCACUAAGCCCCGGCUAACUACGUGCCACCAGCCGCGGUCAUACGUAGGGGGCAAGCGUUGUUCGGAAUGACUGGGCGUCAGGGGUGUGUAGGUGGUUUGAUAGGUUAGAUGUGUAAUACCCAGGGCUUAACUCGGGUGCUGCAUCUAAAACUGUUAGACUUGAGUACUGGAGAGGUAAGUGGAAUGCCUAGUGUAGCGGUGGAAUGCGUAGAUAUUAGGAGGAACAUCAGUGGCGAAGGCGACUAUCUGGACAGCAACUGACACUGAGGCACGAAAGCGUGGGGAGCAAACAGGAUUAGAUACCCGAGUAGUC
rnacentral:rRNA from 1 species